CAACCGAUGGGGAAACGGGGAACGAGAAGUAACGGGGGGUCCGGGACGUAGGGAUGUGUGGGGGUGACGGCUCAGAGGGCCAUGGUCGCCCCGCCAGACCUGAGAUUGUGUCCAGCCAGACCCAGAAAUUAGGGCAUAUCCGCAAGGCCCACACCCUUUAUUUCAGAGGGUAACGGAAACCACUAAGAAAAUAAGCGCUCUGGACGCCCUGCCGGAGCCGGGAGCGAGCUAGGCGCAGGCGCACACGGCUCAGCGUCUGGCUCAGCGUCUGCCCUCGAGUUACCCCGCGCUGCUGGCCGGGCGAACUAGGUGAAAGUGCUAACAACGGACAUGUAACAGUGCAUUUUACAAGGCACCUCUUAGACAUUACUCGUCCAUCUUUACCUGAAAGCUACGAGGGAAGGGGAACCGAAACCUUGAGACCUAAGAAGGAUUUUGGACUGGAGACUGGCCAGGCAGCACGGAGCAUGGAGGAGCAGAGCCUUACUGACCAGGAACAGUGUAGGAACUAGAAUUUAGAGGGAAAGGAAGAAAGCAUGAGGAAAUGCAUGUUGGCCAUCUUGGAAGCCAAGGGAAUAGCCUCAUGGUGGAUCCAAGGACAACAAUACAGAGGAAAGCCAAGUCUCUGAGGAAUUUCCUGAAUAAUCCAAAAUGCUCAAGUGUCAAGGAAUUUCCCCACACAGCAUCCAAGUCUAACCCAUUCUUCAUUUUGUCCCACUUCACACUUGAAUACACUGUAGUGGGUACACGGAAAAUUUUAAUUCCCAGUUGUUGUUGUUGUUGUUUUUCUUUCCCAGAGUUAAGUCACUGGAAAAAACUGUCAAGGCUAUAAAAAAGAAACAAGAGGUUUAAAUUCUACCUAAACUCAUCUCAGUAGCUUAAUGUUCCUUUGGGGGAACCAGCAGCAUCAUUUCAGGAGCUUAGAAGGAGAGCCAAGUGACUGGGAUUCUAACCUGUGUCUACCUCUAAGCCGACAGGCAGCCUCAGCUAAGUCAUGCCCCUUCUCCGAGUCUCCCUUUCCACACCUGUAAACUUAAAGGUUUGUGCUAGUCAACUUUUAGGUUCCUUUCCAA